ensembl:piRNA 21ur-5443 ncRNA
UAGUGAGUUGUUAAAACAGUA